rnacentral:rRNA from 1 species
UGGGGAAUAUUGCACAAUGGGCGAAAGCCUGAUGCAGCAACGCCGCGUGAGUGAUGAAGGCCUUCGGGUUGUAAAGCUCUGUCUUUUGGGACGAUAAUGACGGUACCAAAGGAGGAAGCCACGGCUAACUACGUGCCAGCAGCCGCGGUAAUACGUAGGUGGCAAGCGUUGUCCGGAUUUUACUGGGCGUAAAGGAUGCGUAGGCGGAUUUUUAAGUGAGAUGUGAAAUUAACCCGGGCUUAACUUGGUGCUGCAGUUUCAAACUGGGAAUCUAGAGUGCGGGAGAGGAAAUGGAAUUCCUAGUGUAGCGGUGAAAUGCGUAGAGAUUAGGAAGAACACCAGUGGCGAAGGCGAUUCUCUGGACCGUAACUGACGCUGAGGCAUGAAAGCGUGGGUAGC